ACAGAGGUCCCGAGCGUUGUUCGGAUUCACUGGGCGUAAAGGGUGCGUAGGUGGUGGGGUAAGUCGGAUGUGAAAGCUCGGAGCUCAACUCCGAAAUGGCAUUGGAAACUGCCCUGCUUGAGGUUUGGAGGGGGGACUGGAAUUCUCGGUGUAGCAGUGAAAUGCGUAGAUAUCGAGAGGAACACCAGUGGCGAAGGCGAGUCCCUGGACAAGACCUGACACUGAGGCACGAAAGCUAGGGGAGCAAACAG
rnacentral:rRNA from 1 species